rnacentral:rRNA from 1 species
GACAGAGGUGGCAAGCGUUGUUCGGAUUUACUGGGCUUAAAGGGCGUGUAGGCGUCCCGAUAAGUCAGAUGUGGAAGCCUUGGGCUUAACCCAAGAAGUGCAUUUGAAACUGUCGGGAUUGAGUCGUGCAAGGGAGGGCGGAAUUCCUGGUGUAGCGGUGAAAUGCGUAGAUAUCAGGAGGAAGGCCGGCGGUGAAGACGGCCCUCUAGGCAAUGACUGACGCUGAGGCGCGAAAGCGUGGGUAGCAAACAGGAUUAGAUACCCUGGUAGUCCACGCCCUAAACGGUGCGUACUAGGUGUGGGUGGCGAUAGUCAUCCGUGCCGUAGGGAAACCAUUAAGUACGCCGCCUGGGGAGUACGGCCGCAAGGUUGAAACUCAAAUGAAUUGACGGGGGCCCGCACAAGCGGUGGAGCAUGUGGUUUAAUUCGACGCUACGCGCAGAACCUUACCUAGGCUUGACAUGUUAGUGGUAGGAACCCGAAAGGGUAACGACCUAUUCUUCGGAAUAGGAGCUUUCACAGGUGCUGCAUGGCUGUCGUCAGCUCGUGCCGUGAGGUGUUGGGUUAAGUCCCGCAACGAGCGCAACCCUCAUCCUCUGUUGCCCUUAACGGGGCUCUCUGAGGAAACUGCCGGCGAAGAGCUGGAGGAAGGUGGGGAUGACGUCAAGUCCGCAUGGCCCUUAUGCCUAGGGCUACACACGUGCUACAAUGGCAGAUACAAAGGGUGGCCAAACCGCGAGGUGGAGCCAAUCUCAUAAAGUCUGUCCAAGUUGGGAUCGGAGUCUGCAAUUCGACUCCGUGAACCUGGAAUCGCUAGUAAUCGUGGAUCAGCACGCCACGGUGAAUACGUUCCCGGGCCU